CCUACGGGUGGCAGCAGUGGGGAAUAUUGUUCAAUGGGGGCAACCCUGAAGCAGCCACGCCGCGUGGGGGAAGACGGUCCUAUGAUUGUAAAACCCUUUUUGUAGGGAAGAAAAUGACGGUACCUGACGAAUAAGCACCGUCUCACCACGUACCAGCAGCCGCGGUAAUACGGCGGGGGCACGCGUUACUCGGAUUUACUGGGCGUAAAGAGGGCGCAGACGGGGAUGCAAGGCAGGAGUGAAAGCCUGGAGCUUAACCCCAGGAGUGCAUUUGAAACUGCGUGGCUAGAGUGUGGGAGGGGCAGGUGGAAGGCGUGGUGUAGGGGUGAAAUGCGUAGAUAUCACGAGGAACACUGAUUGCGAAGGCGGCCUACUGGAACGCAACUGACGCUGAGGCACGAAAGCGUGGGGAGCAAACAGGAUUAGAUACCCGUGUAGUC
rnacentral:rRNA from 1 species